rnacentral:rRNA from 1 species
GUCCACGGCCAUGCCACCCUGAACAAGCCCAAUCCCGUCUGAUCUCGGAAGCCAAGCAGGGUCAGGCCUGGUUAGUACUUGGAUGGGAGACCACCUAGGAAUACCAGGUGCUAUAGGCA